rnacentral:rRNA from 1 species
CAGCAGCCACGGUAAAACGGAGGGUGCAAGCGUUACUCGGAAUCACUGGGCGUAAAGGACGCGUAGGCGGAUUAUCAAGUCUCUUGUGAAAUCUAACGGCUUAACCGUUAAACUGCUUGGGAAACUGAUAAUCUAGAGUAAGGGAGAGGCAGAUGGAAUUCUUGGUGUAGGGGUAAAAUCCGUAGAUAUCAAGAAGAAUACCUAUUGCGAAGGCGAUCUGCUGGAACUUAACUGACGCUAAUGCGUGAAAGCGUGGGGAGCAAACAGGAUUAGAUACCCGCGUAGUCCCUGUCUCUUAUAC